rnacentral:rRNA from 1 species
UACGAAGGGGGCGAGCGUUGUUCGGAAUUACUGGGCGUAAAGGGCGCGUAGGCGGCGAACCAAGUCAGAUGUGAAAGUCCUGGGCUUAACCUGGGGACUGCAUUUGAUACUGGUUUGCUUGAAUUCGGGAGAGGAUAGCGGAAUUCCCAGUGUAGAGGUGAAAUUCGUAGAUAUUGGGAAGAACACCGGUGGCGAAGGCGGCUAUCUGGACCGACAUUGACGCUGAGGCGCGAAAGCGUGGGGAG